AUGCUGGAUGAAAGGCUAUCCAUGAAGAAACCAUGCUGAACACUCCCAACAUCUACUGUGUGUGCAUUGAGGUUUUUAUCUUUUGUAUAUCUCCCUGAACGUGAGCCAUGGUGAUGGAAGCCUCUUCCAAACCAAAGUGCUUAAUAAGUGCUCGUGAGGACCAUACAAUGUGGAAGGAACCUGGGUCCCUGAAAAUUCCCACAGAAGGCUACUGACCAAGAAAUCUUUCAAAAGACUAUGACAGGAGCAAAAACUACAUUUUUAUUGGGUUAAACUACAGAGAUUUCUGGGUGUAUCUGUUACAGCAACUGGUGUUAAUUAAACAGAGAAGAGCACCGUUCCAUUUUCUCUUUAAGGUUGGAGUAUUAAAUUGCCUCUAUUGUCUCUUUUACGGUAUUGAUAUUUUUUGAUUGAUUGAUCGACCAGGUUUCUUUACUAUCAAUUCUUCACCUUUAAUGGGC
rnacentral:lncRNA from 1 species